UGAUCAAGCUACAAAGAGCGCAUCAUGGAUGCCUUGGUGCCAAUAGGCGAUGAAGGACGUGGUAAGCUGCGAUAAGCUACGGAGAGCGGCAAACACGCUUUGACCCGUAGAUUUCCGAAUGGGAUAACCUGAGUGGGGUAACACCUGCUCGAGCUUCUGUGAAUUCAUAGCAGAAGCAUCGCGACACCCGGCGAAGUGAAACAUCUCAGUAACCGGAGGAAAAGAAAGCGAAUGCGAUUCCGUCAGUAGUGGCGAGCGAAAGCGGAAGAGACUAAACCCAGCACUUUCAGUUGAUUUGAAAACUGUCUCAGCUGUUCGAACUAAUUGUUAGUUCGAAUAGCUGCUGAGAUUAGCGAAGUCGAUUGAAAGUGCUGGGGGUUGUAGGAGCCCGAUGUGGUAGUGCAAAGGUUAGGUGAAGCUUCUGGAAAGCUGCGCCAUAGAGGGUGAAAGGCCCGUAACCGAAAACCGGAGCACGCCUAGGGAUUUCCUGAGUAAUACGAUGCACGUGAAACUUCGUAUGAAGCCACGCCGACCACGGCGUAAGUCUAAAUACUAAUUGGCGACCGAUAGUGAACCAGUACCGCGAGGGAAAGGUGAAAAGAACCGCUGUGAGCGGAGUGAAAUAGUACCU
rnacentral:rRNA from 1 species